GUUGAACGCUGGCGGCGUGCCUAAUACAUGCAAGUCGAGCGAACAGAUGAGGAGCUUGCUCCUCUGACGUUAGCGGCGGACGGGUGAGUAACACGUGGAUAACCUAUCUAUAAGACUGGGAUAACUUCGGGAAACCGGAUCUAAUACCGGACAAUAUAUUGAACCGCAUGGUUCAAUAGUGAAAGACGGUUUUGCUGUCACUUAUAGAUGGAUCCGCGCCGGAUUAGCUAGUUGGUAAGGUAACGGCUUACCAAGGCAACGAUGCGUAGCCGACCUGAGAGGGUGAUCGGCCACACUGGAACUGAGACACGGUCCAGACUCCUACGGGAGGCAGCAGUAGGGAAUCUUCCGCAAUGGGCGAAAGCCUGACGGAGCAACGCCGCGUGAGUGAUGAAGGUCUUCGGAUCGUAAAACUCUGUUAUUAGGGAAGAACAAAUGUGUAAGUAACUAUGCACGUCUUGACGGUACCUAAUCAGAAAGCCCCGGCUAACUACGUG
rnacentral:rRNA from 1 species